GACAGAGGGUGCAAACGUUGUUCGGAAUUACUGGGCAUAAAGCGCACGUAGGUGGUCCGCUAAGUCGAGUGUGAAAUCCCCCGGCUCAACCGGGGAAUUGCGCUCGAUACUGGUGGGCUAGAGGUCGGUAGGGGUGAGCGGAAUUCCACGUGUAGCAGUGAAAUGCGUAGAGAUGUGGAGGAACACCGAUGGCGAAGGCAGCCUCCUGGGCCAGCACUGACGCUCAUGCACGAAAGCGUGGGGAGCAAACAGG
rnacentral:rRNA from 1 species